UACAGAGGGUGCAAGCGUUGUUCGGAAUUAUUGGGCGUAAAGGGUGCGUAGGCGGUCGGGUAAGUCUGAUGUGAAAUCUCCAAGCCUAACUUGGAAACUGCAUUGGAUACUAUCCGGCUCGAGGAAUGGAGGGGAGACUGGAAUACUUGGUGUAGCAGUGAAAUGCGUAGAUAUCAAGUGGAACACCAGUGGCGAAGGCGAAUCUCUGGACAUUUCCUGACGCUGAGGCACGAAAGCCAGGGGAGCAAACGGG
rnacentral:rRNA from 1 species